CCUACGGGUGGCAGCAGUGGGGAAUAUUGCGCAAUGGGGGAAACCCUGACGCAGCAACGCCGCGUGAGUGAAGACGUACCUCGGUAUGUAAAGCUCUAUCAGCGGGGAAGAAGGAAGACGGUACCCGACUAAUAAGCCUCGGCUAACUACGGGCCAGCAGCCGCGGCAACAUGUAGGGGGCCAGCGUUAUCCGGAUUUAGUGGGGGUAAAGGGGGCGUAGGCGGGGUCGCAAGUCUGAAGGGAAAGUCCGUGGGUACACCGCGGAACCGCUUUGGAUACUGCUUGGCUAGAGUGCUGGAGAGGUAAGCGGAAUUCGUGGUGUAGCGGUGAAAUGCGUAGAUAUCUGGAAGAACACCAGUGGCGAAGGCGGCUUACUGGACAGAGACUGACGUUGAGGCACGAAAGCGUGGGGAGCGAACAGGAUUAGAUACCCUGGUAGUC
rnacentral:rRNA from 1 species